GAAUGACAAAGGAGAAUGGCACUGAGUCAGGAGAGCUGCAAGGAGGAGGACAGCAGAGAUGGAGACCCUAAAUAAUGGCUCUCUUGUGGAUAAAAUAUAACCUCUACUGAAAGAGGGGAAAGCAGUGGAGGAAAGUAACCACAACAUUUUAGAGGCAGAGUGAAGUAAAGGAAAAACAUGGAGUUCAGAAAGCAAAAUAAAUCUAAAUCAGCAUUUAGCUUUAUUUUAUUCAUAGGGUCUGUGUAUAAGGAGUGUCCUUCUGAAAAACUGUAUAAAAUCACAUUUCCUGUCAAGAUAUUCCAUAUUCUUACAGAUCACAUUAUUCUCUGAACUGUCACUGUUCUGUGUAAACAUUUCAAGAUAACUGAUAAUUCAAACAGAGCCAAGUGGGAUGGAAAUCAGAGUGUGUUUUUGAUAAGUUUCUAUAUUCUUGCCAGCAAUUAUUUUGUGAGUGUGAGAUUCCCAUUCUUCAAGUGGGAUCCAUCAUUUUGGGCUAAAACUGUGAACGUGCAGGUUCAAUAGUAGACAGAAUCUGGUGGCUUUUAUCAUCACAAGGCCCAUAUUGAAGCUUGUACUUGGGGAACAUAAAUAAAUUGGUUCCCUCACAAAAAGCAAAGCAAUUUCUCUUUCUUUUUCUUUCUUUCUUUUUUUUUUUUUUUUUACCAAGUGGGGAUCUACAGUAACAGUUACAGCAAAGCCAAAGUAAAUUCAGGAGCCUAGAGUACACUGAAGAUCUUUUAUAUUAAUUAAUGGACACCCUCCAUCUAUUGCUGAAGGCGGGUUAAAAGAAGGUCAGGCCUCUAUUUUAUGCAUGUCCAAUAUGAGUAAUAAGGUUAUUAAUCCCCUCACGUGAACCAGAAGUAAUGAAUGUUCAGCUGCACUAUUUUCAAAUGAGAAGACGAGUCGGGCUAUGAACCUUGAGUCUCAUGCUGCUGGCAGUGAGUAUAAGUCAUAGGAAGAGGAGAGUAGAUAAGAGAGGAAAAGGGGCUCUGGUAGGGAGAAAUAAAAGAGCACCUAGCAAAAUAACUAAAGCAUAACUAAAUUUGUUAUAUUUAAUAGAAUAUUUUAUUAUAUACAAUAAAAUAGAUGAUUAUCAGCUAGUGACAAAGUAAUC
ensembl:lncRNA